rnacentral:rRNA from 1 species
UACGGAGGGUGCAAGCGUUAUCCGGAUUCACUGGGUUUAAGGGGAGCGUAGGAGGGCAGGUAAGUCAGUGGUGAAAUCUUCGAGCUUAACUCGGAAACUGCCGUUGAUACUAUCUGUCUUGAAUACCGUGGAGAUGAGCGGAAUAUGUCAUGUAGCGGUGAAAUGCUUAGAUAUGACAUAGAACACCAAUUGCGAAGGCAGCUCGUUACACGAAUAUUGACUCUGAGGCACGAAAGCGUGGGGAUCAAACAGG